UUCGUCACACUAUCAUUAACUGAAUCCAUAGGUUAAUGAGGCGAACCGGGGGAACUGAAACAUCUAAGUACCCCGAGGAAAAGAAAUCAACCGAGAUUCCCCCAGUAGCGGCGAGCGAACGGGGAGCAGCCCAGAGCCUGAAUCAGUGUGUGUGUUAGUGGAAGCGUCUGGAAAGGCGCGCGAUACAGGGUGACAGCCCCGUACACAAAAAUGCACAUGCUGUGAGCUCGAUGAGUAGGGCGGGACACGUGGUAUCCUGUCUGAAUAUGGGGGGACCAUCCUCCAAGGCUAAAUACUCCUGACUGACCGAUAGUGAACCAGUACCGUGAGGGAAAGGCGAAAAGAACCCCGGCGAGGGGAGUGAAAAAGAACCUGAAACCGUGUACGUACAAGCAGUGGGAGCACAGAGCAAUCUGUGUGACUGCGUACCUUUUGUAUAAUGGGUCAGCGACUUAUAUUCUGUAGCAAGGUUAACCGAAUAGGGGAGCCGAAGGGAAACCGAGUCUUAACUGGGCGUUAAGUUGCAGGGUAUAGACCCGAAACCCGGUGAUCUAGCCAUGGGCAGGUUGAAGGUUGGGUAACACUAACUGGAGGACCGAACCGACUAAUGUUGAAAAAUUAGCGGAUGACUUGUGGCUGGGGGUGAAAGGCCAAUCAAACCGGGAGAUAGCUGGUUCUCCCCGAAAGCUAUUUAGGUAGCGCCUCGUGAAUUCAUCUCCGGGGGUAGAGCACUGUUUCGGCAAGGGGGUCAUCCCGACUUACCAACCCGAUGCAAACUGCGAAUACCGGAGAAUGUUAUCACGGGAGACACACGGCGGGUGCUAACGUCCGUCGUGAAGAGGGAAACAACCCAGACCGCCAGCUAAGGUCCCAAAGUCAUGGUUAAGUGGGAAACGAUGUGGGAAGGCCCAGACAGCCAGGAUGUUGGCUUAGAAGCAGCCAUCAUUUAAAGAAAGCGUAAUAGCUCACUGGUCGAGUCGGCCUGCGCGGAAGAUGUAACGGGGCUAAACCAUG
rnacentral:rRNA from 1 species